rnacentral:rRNA from 1 species
UGGAUCCAGACUUUGAUCAUGGCUCAGGAUGAACGCUGGCGGCGUGCCUAAUACAUGCAAGUCGAGCGAACCACUUCGGUGGGAAGCGGCGAACGGGUGAGUAACACGUAGGUGAUCUGCCCAUCAGACGGGGACAACGAUUGGAAACGAUCGCUAAUACCGGAUAGGACGAAAGUUUAAAGAUGCUCCUGGCAUCACUGAUGGAUGAGCCUGCGGCGCAUUAGCUAGUUGGUGGGGUAAAGGCCUACCAAGGCGACGAUGCGUAGCCGACCUGAGAGGGUGAACGGCCACACUGGGACUGAGACACGGCCCAGACUCCUACGGGAGGCAGCAGUAGGGAAUCUUCGGCAAUGGGCGAAAGCCUGACCGAGCAACGCCGCGUGAAUGAAGAAGGCCUUCGGGUUGUAAAAUUCUGUUAUAAGGGAAGAAAGGUGAUAGGAGGAAAUGACUAUCAAUUGACGGUACCUUAUGAGAAAGCCACGGCUAACUACGUGCCAGCAGCCGCGGUAAUACGUAGGUGGCAAGCGUUAUCCGGAAUUAUUGGGCGUAAAGAGCGCGCAGGUGGUUAAUUAAGUCUGAUGUGAAAGCCCACGGCUUAACCGUGGAGGGUCAUUGGAAACUGGUUGACUUGAGUGCAGAAGAGGGAAGUGGAAUUCCAUGUGUAGCGGUGAAAUGCGUAGAGAUAUGGAGGAACACCAGUGGCGAAGGCGGCUUCCUGGUCUGCAACUGACACUGAGGCGCGAAAGCGUGGGGAGCAAACAGGAUUAGAUACCCUGGUAGUCCACGCCGUAAACGAUGAGUGCUAAGUGUUGGGGGUCGAACCUCAGUGCUGAAGUUAACGCAUUAAGCGCUCCGCCUGGGGAGUACGGUCGCAAGACUGCAACUCAAAUG